rnacentral:rRNA from 1 species
CCCUUAGAUGUCCGGGGCUGCACGCGCGCUACACUGAAGGAAUCAGCGUGCUAAAACCAUUGUCGAAAGGCAUUGGUAAACCCAUUAAAAUCCUACGUGAUUGGGAUCGGGGAUUGCAAUUAUUUCCCUUGAACGAGGAAUUCCCAGUAAGUGUGGGUCAUAAGCUCGCGUUGAUUACGUCCCUGCCCUUUGUACACACCGCCCGUCGCUGCCCGGGACUGAGCCGUUUCGAGAAAAGCGGGGACUGCUGCUGUCGGGGCUUUCGGGCCUUGGCUUCGGUGGAAACCGCUUUAAUCGCAGUGGCUUGAACCGGGCAAAAGUCGUANCA